rnacentral:rRNA from 1 species
GACGAACGCUGGCGGCGUGCCUAACACAUGCAAGUCGAGCGCGAAAGUUCCUUCGGGAAUGAGUAAAGCGGCGGACGGGUGAGUAAUACGUGGGUAAUCUGCCCCCGAGCUCGGGAUAACACUGCGAAAGCGGUGCUAAUACCGGAUAAGACCACAUGACCCAGGUCGUGCGGUAAAAGGUGGCUUUAUUUUCGGAUGAGGCUAUCACUUGAGGAUGAGCCCAUGGCCUAUCAGCUUGUUGGUGAGGUAAAAGCUCACCAAGGCUAUGACGGGUAGCUGGUCUAAGAGGAAGACCAGCCACACUGGGACUGAGACACGGCCCAGACUCCUACGGGAGGCAGCAGUGGGGAAUAUUGGGCAAUGGGCGAAAGCCUGACCCAGCGACGCCGUGUGGGCGAUGAAGGCCUUCGGGUUGUAAAGCCCUGUGAGGUGGAAAGAAGGGCCCAGAGGUUAAUACCCUUUGGGCUUUGACGGUACCACCAGAGGAAGCACCGGCUAACUCCGUGCCAGCAGCCGCCGUAAAAC